ACAUACUUGCGAGUUGGAUGUGGCGUUUAUAGCUGAGGGACACUGAUUUGUCUCAGCCCCUGUCUGUCCCACAACAGGAGCUGUUAAUUGUUUAAAUUAGUGUUUGGGUUAUU